rnacentral:rRNA from 1 species
CAGCAGCCGCGGUAAUACGAGGGGGGCAAGCGUUGUUCGGAUUUAUUGGGCGUAAAGGGUGCGUAGGCGGUUUGGCAAGUCUUGUGUGAAAUCUUCGGGCUCAACCCGAAGCCUGCACGAGAAACUACCGGACUUGAGUAUUGGAGAGGUGAGUGGAAUUUCCGGUGUAGCGGUGAAAUGCGUAGAUAUCGGAAGGAACACCUGUGGCGAAAGCGGCUCACUGGACAAUAACUGACGCUGAUGCACGAAAGCUAGGGGAGCAGACAGGAUUAGAUACCCGCGUAGUCCCUGUCUCUUAUAC